rnacentral:miRNA from 1 species
GAGCAAACCAUCUAGGAGUCUUAUUAAAAAUGCAGAUUUUGAUCCAGUAUGGCCUGAGAUUUUGCAUUUCCAACAAGCUCCCAGAUGAUACCAGA